GACGAACGCUGGCGGCGUGCUUAACACAUGCAAGUCGAACGCUGAAGCCUAGCUUGCUGGGUGGAUGAGUGGCGAACGGGUGAGUAACACGUGAGUAACCUGCCCUCUUCUUUGGGAUAACGCCCGGAAACGGGUGCUAAUACUGGAUAUUCACUGGCCUUCGCAUGGGGGUUGGUGGAAAGGUUUUUUCUGGUGGGGGAUGGGCUCGCGGCCUAUCAGCUUGUUGGUGGGGUGAUGGCCUACCAAGGCUUUGACGGGUAGCCGACCUGAGAGGGUGACCGGUCACAUUGGGACUGAGAUACGGCCCAGACUCCUACGGGAGGCAGCAGUGGGGAAUAUUGCACAAUGGGCGAAAGCCUGAUGCAGCGACGCCGCGUGAGGGAUGGAGGCCUUCGGGUUGUAAACCUCUUUCGCUCAUGGUCAAGCCGCAACACUUGGUUGUGGUGAGGGUAGUGGGUAAAGAAGCGCCGGCUAACUACGUGCCAGCAGCCGCGGUAAUACGUAGGGCGCGAGCGUUGUCCGGAAUUAUUGGGCGUAAAGGGCUUGUAGGCGGUUGGUCGCGUCUGCCGUGAAAUCCUCUGGCUUAACUGGGGGCGUGCGGUGGGUACGGGCUGACUUGAGUGCGGUAGGGGAGACUGGAACUCCUGGUGUAGCGGUGGAAUGCGCAGAUAUCAGGAAGAACACCGGUGGCGAAGGCGGGUCUCUGUGGCCGUUACUGACGCUGAGGAGCGAAAGCGUGGGGGGCGAACAGGAUUAUAUACCCUAGUAUUCCAGGGCGAAUUCGCAGUGGAAUCAAGCUUAUCCAUACCGUCGACAAAAAAGGUAGUGAGACAGUACCUUCUUGGUCCCUUAAAAAGGUUAAUAACAAGG
rnacentral:rRNA from 1 species